rnacentral:rRNA from 1 species
AACGAACGCUGGCGGCGUGCCUAACACAUGCAAGUCGAACGAGAAAGGGGCUUCGGCUCCGAGUAAAGUGGCGCACGGGUGAGUAACACGUAGGUAACCUGCCUCUAGGAUUGGGAUAACCUGUCGAAAGACGAGCUAAUACCAAAUAAGACCACAGCUUCUUUGGAAGCAGGGGUCAAAGGUAGCCUCUGCAUGCAAGCUAUCGCUUAGAGAUGGGCCUGCGUACCAUUAGCUAGUUGGUGGGGUAACGGCCCACCAAGGCAAAGAUGGUUAGCUGGUCUGAGAGGAUGAUCAGCCACACUGGAACUGAGACACGGUCCAGACUCCUACGGGUGGCAG